rnacentral:rRNA from 1 species
GACGAACGCUGGCGGCGUGCUUAACACAUGCAAGUCGAACGAUGAACCACUUCGGUGAGGAUUAGUGGCGAACGGGUGAGUAACACGUGGGCAAUCUGCCCUUCACUCUGGGACAAGCCCUGGAAACGGGGUCUAAUACCGGAUAUCACUCCCGCAGGCCUCUGCGGGGGUCGAAAGCUCCGGCGGUGAAGGAUGAGCCCGCGGCCUAUCAGCUUGUUGGUGAGGUAAUGGCUCACCAAGGCGACGACGGGUAGCCGGCCUGAGAGGGCGACCGGCCACACUAAGACUGAGACACGGCCCAGACUCCUACGGGAGGCAGCAGUGGGGAAUAUUGCACAAUGGGCGCAAGCCUGAUGCAGCGACGCCGCGUGAGGGAUGACGGCCUUCGGGUUGUAAACCUCUUUCAGCAGGGAAGAAGCGCAAGUGACGGUACCUGCAGAAGAAGCGCCGGCUAACUACGUGCCAGCCGCCGCCGUAACAC